AGGCUUGUCCGGGUGCGUCUCGAUCGUCCGGUCGCUCCUCCUUUCUUAAGUGGCGUCCGCUGGUCGGACCAUAUCUCGGGCAAUGUAGGGAGGGUUCCUGUGCUCUAUCAGGAUAGGUUCUUUGCAGGCUCCCUGCUUCUCGCAGCGAACUGCAUUGGUCCGUCCCUUUCAUUUGAUCGCUCGCCUCGAUUCCCCUAGGGUCGGUCGCGAGUGAUGGGUGGGUUCCUGUGCUUGAUACCGGAUUUCGGUACUCGGAUUCAAUGUUGUCCACGUCUUGGUUUCCCUUGUUCCUCCUCCGCCUCCUGUGCGUUGGUGGUUGUCGCGCGGGCAUCGAUGCUUUCCGUCCGGGCGGUCGUCCACCUCUGGGCGCUUCCGCUCGAGUCGGCGCGUCGAUGCCGUCCGCGUGCUCUUGGGUACGGAGAUAUCUCUUGUUAUCGCGCGGCCCUCUUUCGGCCGUUGCGAUCACGACGUGUCGAAGCUUCUUUGCUUCCGCUCGGGUGACACUCGUGCUUUCCUUGGCCCUCACGGAGACUCUCCUCUCCGCGUUCGUCCUCGGGAGGCAUCGAGGUGUACCAGUA
rnacentral:misc_RNA from 1 species